UCGCCCACAAUGCCUUUCAACGGUUUCAACACAGAUGUGGGUUGGCGUGCAUUGAUUGGACGCUUCCUACUCGGCGGUGCCGAAUCCCCCAUGGGGGGCCUCUCUGUUGGAGUCGUUGCCGAUGCCCGGUUCGGGUGAUCUUCUUCGGCUCCUUCAGUGGUCUCCUCGCGCUAACCCAGUAGCGUGUGGUUUUUAGCGGGCUAUCAAGCCCGCUUUUUUUU
rnacentral:ncRNA from 1 species